CCUACGGGGGGCUGCAGUAGGGAAUAUUGCUCAAUGGGGGAAACCCUGAAGCAGCAACGCCGCGUGGAGGAUGAAGGUUUUCGGAUUGUAAACUCCUUUUGUUAGAGAAGAUAAUGACGGUAUCGAACUAAUAAGCACCUGCUAACCCCGUGCCAGCAGCCGCGGUAAUACGGUGGGUGCAAGCGGUACUCGGAAAAAAUGGGCGGAAAGAGCGCGUAGGCUGGAUAGCAAGUCAGAUGUGAAAUCCUAUGGCUUAACCAUAGAACUGCAUUUGAAACUGUUAUUCUAGAGUAUGGGAGAGGUAGGUGGAAUUCUUGGUGUAGGGGUAAAAUCCGUAGAGAUCAAGAGGAAUACUCAUUGCGAAGGCGACCUGCUAGAACAUAACUGACGCUGAUGCGCGAAAGCGUGGGGAGCAAACAGGAUUAGAUACCCUAGUAGUC
rnacentral:rRNA from 1 species